GCGGGCGUGGUGGAAUUGGUAGACUCGGUGGAUUUAGGUUCCUCUGGCAUCGCCGUGCAGGUUCGAGUCCUGUCGCCCGCACCA
rnacentral:tRNA from 1 species